GAUAUUUGGAGAUCCCUCACCCUGAGAAAAGACAGAGCAGCGACGCUCCAUUAAAAGAAGGAGACGGAAACCAGACCCUCCGAUCAGCUCCCUUCUUCCUCCACAGACCCCAAGGACCAGCGCCACUCUCCAUCAGCUGGUCCAAAAACGAGGAACACCCCCUUUAUCUUCUUCUUCACCCCAAAGAGGAAAUUUUCUUUUAGCUUUGUCUCAGUCGAUUUCCGGAAAAAAAAGAAUAAUCAUAAAAGAUAAAAAAGAAAAUGAGGAGAACUUUGUUUCUGUUUUGAUUUUUUAACUCAUGGAAUUCGAGUGAGAAUUGUCGGGUUUGAAGUUGGCUGAUAUCCGAGAUUUCACAAGUUGUUUCACUUAGCCGAUACUCUGUGUAACCUCUGGGAUUUUCGAGUUUAGAUUGAGAUAUUAAAGGACUGUUGUUGCUGAAAUCGCUGUUGCUGCUUUGUUAAGCUCGGAUUCAUCUUCGUCUCCAUAUCCUUACUUGGCUCAUUGUGUACUAUUUGUCGGCUAUUCAGGUUUGAUUAAUACUCCUUCACUGUUUAACUAUAAGUUCGGAUGGAAUGUUUGAAGUGAAGCCAAUAUGAACUGGGCUUUUGAUUGGUAAAAAUUAGUAUGUGAAUGGUUGCUAUUUGUAUAUGUUCCCCAAAAUUCGGCUAGCUAAUUUUAUCUACCAUUUGAUCUAAGCAUGUUGUCAGUUCAAUGUUAUAUGCAAAUGGGUUUAUGAUGAUUCAUGUUGACACGCUUCUCUCUGAUUAAUUUUGUUAUUAUUUUUCCAUA